rnacentral:lncRNA from 1 species
ACAUUUAAGUAUCUCUACAGUCAUAUGCAUUAAGUUUAUCAUUAAAAAAGGUGGCCAUCUUUUAUAAAAUUUAAAUUGAAACAUGGGGAAACAGUAUAAAAAUCAAGAAAUUUGUAUGGCACAGCUAUUUCUAGGAUGAAUUUCUCUAAGAGGGAAUUUUUAAAUUGAGAGACUUCAGGAAGGCAUAAACCUAAGAAUACAUCUGCACAAACAAAAUACUUUGUUAGGAAUGAUUGAACUUCCCUUUGUUGGAUGAAUUGUAUACAGUUGAUUAAAUAUUCUUAGGUAGAGCACUGUAAAGAAGCAAACAAUGAGCAGAUGAUCUAAGUAGACAUUUCUCCAAAGAAGAUAUUCAGAUGGCCAAAAGGCACAUGAAAAGAUGCUCGACAUCACUAUUUAUAAGAGAAACACAAAUCAAAACUACAAUGAAAUAUCACCUCAACCAGUCAGAAUGGCCAUCAUCAAAAAGUCUACAAAUAGGAGUUCCCAUUGUGGCUCAGUGGUUAACAAACCCGACUAGUAUGCAUAAGGACACAGGUUUGAUCCCUGGUCUUGCUCAGUGGUUUAAGGAUCUGGCAUUGCUGUGGCUGUGGAGUAGGCUGGUGGCUAGAGUUCCCAUCUGACCCAUAGCCUGUGAACCGCCAUAUGCCACGGGUGCAGUCCUAAAAAGACAAAAGAGACAAAAAGAUCUACAAAUAAUAAAUGCUGGAGAGGAUGUGGAGAAAUGGGAACCCUCCUAUGGUCUUACUGGGAAUGUAAAUUAGUACUGGAGAACAAUACAGAGGUUCCUUGAGAGAUUAAAAAUAGAACUAAGAUGAUACUGCAAUUCCACUCCUGGGCAUACAUCCAAAGAAAAUCAAAAUUUUAAAUGAAACAUCCACCUUGAUGUUCACUUCAGCACUAUUUACAAAGCCAAGACAUGGGAGCAACCUAAACGUCCAUCAACAGAGGAAUGGAUAAAGAAGAUGGGGCACAUGUAUACAGUGGACUAUCACUCAGCCAUAAGAAGAAUGAAGAGAAUGAACCAUGUACAGACCUAGAUAUGAUCAUACUCAGUGAAAUAAGCUGGAAAGAGAAAGAUAAAUAUCACAUACCACUUAUAUUUGGAAUCUAAUUUUGGAAGUGAUACAAAUGAACUUCUUUACAAAACAGAAACAGACUCACCAUUUUGAAAACAGACAUAUGGUUACCAAAGGGGAAGAAAGGUGAAUGGGAAGGGAUAAAUUAGGAGUUUGGGACUGACAAUACACACUACUAGGUAGGAAAUAGAUAAUCAGCAAGGACCUACUGUACAGCACAUGGAACUCCACUCAUUAUAUUGUAAUAAUCCCUAUGGGAAAAAAAAACUAAAAAAGAGUGGAUAUCUGUAUACGUAUAACUGAAUCACUGUGCUGUACACCUGAAGCUAACACAACAUUGUAAAUCAAUUACAUUCCAUUAUACAAUAAAAAUUCAAUAAAAAUAGAAUAUGUAAUGGGUAUGAUGUAGGACUCGGGUUCUUUGAUAAAGGAAGGUCAAAGCCUUUUAACCAGUGUGAUAAUGAAUGUGUUUGCAUCCCUGAAUGGAUUAACUUCAGUCCUACAUUGUUUUGUUCCACCAUUUUCCAGUUCUGAAACCCUUUUUGUGUGCUGCUUAUACCUUUGUGAUUUUUUUCAAAUCAUGGUGUUAGUAAUAGAUUUUUAUCAGUUGAUUUAUUUAGAAUCCUAGCUUCUGAUCUGUGAUUUCAAAUACUGUCUAUGGCUGUGUGAUCAGUCUCAUAAAAUUGAAUCCUCCCAAUCUGUAUUCUCUUUGAUCCUGUAUUAAGGUCGUUGCAUUGUCUCUACACAGUUGCUUUCCUCUUUGUUAUCUGUUUAAGGUAAUGAAGGUUCAACAUCUUUCUUUCCUAAAAUUGAGAAUAUACCAAAAAACAGACUUUGCAAGGCCAAGGAACUCCUGGGUCACACCAUUACAUGUCUCCUAGAAGCAGGAGCUCAGGCCCAGCUCAGGCCUUGAUCACAUAAUACUUGUCUGCAACUGUAUGUUAAACUGAGCACAGCCCUGUGGGGCCCCUGGCACAAAAGCCUUUGUGUAUACAUUUCUAUUUUUAGGAAAUAGGCCUCAUUUAGCCUCCAGGACCUUCUCUGUGCUCCAAAGGGCAGCUUGAAACAAUUACUAAUCAGGGAAGGGAGGGGAUGCAGAGACAGGGAGGAACCAGUCAAGAAACAAUAGAGCAUCCUUGGGGCAGGGUCCUGGUUCCUCCUCAAGGAAUAUACAUAACAGUAGCUUUAAAAUUUUUUAAAUUUUUUUCCUUUUUAGGGCUGCAACCAGGGCAUGUGGAAGUUCUCCUGCUAGGGGUCAAAUGAAUGGGAGCUGCAGCUGCCAGCCUUCACCACACCUGCAGCAAUGCAGAAAUCAAGCCUCAUCUUUGACCUACAUCGCAGCUCACAGCAAUGCUGGAUCCUUAAUCCACUGAGCAAGGCCAGGGAUUGAACCCACGCCUUCAUGGAUACUAGUUGGGCCCCUUACCUCUGAGCCACAAUAGGAACUCCUAUUAUCUUUGAGUUAUUCUGCAGAACUAAACCCCCCAGCGGAAGAAAAUUCUUAUGAAGCAUCCUUCAUUCCAGAAAGGAGGAGGACCACAAAAACCAGUCCUGGGUCCACUAAACACCAGGUUUGAAGAAGAUGCCAAGCUUGCAUCUACCCUGAUCCUUCAACAUGGACCUAUUUUCUACUCCCCAAAGUAUAAAACCACCUCCAUUCUCUUCCCAAAGAGAGAAGGGUAUUUAGGGCAUUAGCCUGCUGUGGCCUCCUUUGCCUGGCAAAGCAAUAAAGCUGUUUGUUUUGUUUGUCUGUCUGUUUGUUUCUCCUUCACUGCAAACUCUGUUUGCAGGUUUCUGCUUAGCACUGACGGACAGAGGUGGAGUUCUGGCAGCACUUGUUUCACAUUGUAUGUUUUAAUUCCAGUUAAGGCCAGAAGAUCCUGACAUAGAUGAGAGGAAUAAAUCAAAGGUAAUUAAAAUGUCAUUUAAAAUUACACAAAGGAUAUUUUUUUAAAAAAAUAUAAAUUCAGCUUAUUCAUUGUGAUUUUGUGUAUUCUCUGUUUUGAUAGCAGGUGUAACAUGACUCUGAUUUUAUAUUCUGCAAUUGUGACUUAUUUGAUUUUAAUGCUAAUAAUGGAUGCAGAAAAAUUCCAUGUGAUUCAAUCCUUGCAAUACUUUCUCAUCAUAAAAACUUAUUUAGUAAAGCUAUAGCAAACAAAAUAUGACUAUCAUUUUACUGCUAAAUGCUAUAUUGAGCUACAUCUAUGAUAAGACCUACUAUAUUUUGUAGUAUGAAUAUUUCAAUAUUAUUUAAAUAUUGAUCUGCAAAAUAAAAAAAAAAAUCACCCAGUAGCUUUCUCCAUGGUUGUAUGACUGAAAAUGAUAGUCUUAGAAGAAUUAUAUUGUAAUUUAGACAAAUAAAUGAUAUAAAACAUCACAAGGUUUUGGGUACUAGAAAUCCAACGUGUUUUCACUGAAAAACAACUUGUGAAAUAUAUUUUAAUAUUUUAUUCAUAGUUUCCCUUAUUCAAUGAAAACAUGAUUUGUUUAAAGGAUAUCUUUUCUAAAGAGAAAAAUGUUAAUACCACCUAG